rnacentral:rRNA from 1 species
AUACGUAGGUGGCAAGCGUUGUCCGGAAUUAUUGGGCGUAAAGCGCGCGCAGGUGGUUCCUUAAGUCUGAUGUGAAAGCCCCCGGCUCAACCGGGGAGGGUCAUUGGAAACUGGGGAACUUGAGUGCAGAAGAGGAUAGUGGAAUUCCAAGUGUAGCGGUGAAAUGCGUAGAGAUUUGGAGGAACACCAGUGGCGAAGGCGACUGUCUGGUCUUUAACUGACACUGAGGCGCGAAAGCGGGGGGAGCAAACAGGAUUAGAUCCCCUGUUAGUCCACGCCGUAAACGAUGAGUGCUAAGUGUUGGGGGGUUUCCGCCCCUCAGUGCUGCAGCUAACGCAUUAAGCACUCCGCCUGGGGAGUACGGUCGCAAGACUGAAACUCAAAUGAAUUGACGGGG